rnacentral:rRNA from 1 species
UGGGGAAUUUUGGACAAUGGGCGAAGCAGCUGCACAAGAUGCCGCGUGCAGGAUGAGGGCCUUCGGGUUGUAAACUGCUUUUGNACGGAACGAAAAGCCCUGGGUUAAUACCCUGGGGUCAUGACGGUACCGUAAGAAUAAGCACCGGCUAACUACGUGCCAGCAGCCGCGGUAAUACGUAGGGUGCAAGCGUUAAUCGGAAUUACUGGGCGUAAAGCGUGCGCAGGCGGUUUUGUAAGACAGAGGUGAAAUCCCCGGGCUCAACCUGGGAACUGCCUUUGUGACUGCAAGGCUAGAGUACGGCAGAGGGGGAUGGAAUUCCGCGUGUAGCAGUGAAAUGCGUAGAUAUGCGGAGGAACACCGAUGGCGAAGGCAAUCCCCUGGGCCUGUACUGACGCUCAUGCACGAAAGCGUGGGGAGCAAACAGGAUUAGAUACCCUGGUAGUCCACGCCCUAAACGAUGUCAACUGGUUGUUGGGUCUUAACUGACUCAGUAACGAAGCUAACGCGUGAAGUUGACCGCCUGGGGAGUACGGCCGCAAGGUUGAAACUUAAAUG